rnacentral:tRNA from 1 species
GGCGAGGUAGCUCAGGUGGUUAGAGCGCAGGAUUCAUAAUCCUGAGGUCGUGAGUUCAAGUCUCACUCUCGCUACAA